AUUGAACGCUGGCGGCAUGCCUUACACAUGCAAGUCGAACGGCAGCACGGGGGCAACCCUGGUGGCGAGUGGCGAACGGGUGAGUAAUACAUCGGAACGUGCCCGGUAGUGGGGGAUAGCUCGGCGAAAGCCGGAUUAAUACCGCAUACGACCUGCGGGUGAAAGCGGGGGAUCGCAAGACCUCGCGCUAUCGGAGCGGCCGAUGUCAGAUUAGGUUGUUGGUGGGGUAAAGGCCACCAAGCCGACGAUCUGUAGCUGGUCUGAGAGGACGACCAGCCACACUGGGACUGAGACACGGCCCAGACUCCUACGGGAGGCAGCAGUGGGGAAUUUUGGACAAUGGGCGCAAGCCUGAUCCAGCCAUGCCGCGUGCGGGAAGAAGGCCUGGUGUAACG
rnacentral:rRNA from 1 species